rnacentral:rRNA from 1 species
UUCGCAUGAAGGCCCCGGGAAAGCUCCGGCGGCGGGGGAUGGGGUCGCGUCCCAUCAGGUAGUAGGCGGGGCAACGGCCCACCAAGCCGACGACGGGUAGCCGGGUUGAGAGACCGACCGGCCACAUUGGGACUGAGAUACGGCCCAGACUCCUACGGGAGGCAGCAGUGGGGAAUUUUGCGCAAUGGGGGCAACCCUGACGCAGCAACGCCGCGUGCGGGACGACGGCCUUCGGGUUGUAAACCGCUUUCAGCAGGGAAGAACCUCUGACGGUACCUGCAGAAGAAGCCCCGGCUAACUACGUGCCAGCAGCCGCGGUAAUACGUAGGGGGCGAGCGUUAUCCGGAAUGAUUGGGCGUAAAGCGCGCGCAGGCGGCCGCUCAAGCGGGACCUCUAACCCCGGGGCUCAACCCCGGGCCGGGUCCCGAACUGGGCGGCUCGAGUGCGGUAGGGGAGAGCGGAAUUCCAAGUGUAGCGGUGAAAUGCGCAGAUAUUUGGAAGAACACCGAUGGCGAAGGCAGCUCUCUGGGCCGUCACUGACGCUGAGGCGCGAAAGCCGGGGGAGCGAACAGGAUUAGAUACCCUGGUAGUCCCGGCCGUAAACGAUGGGCGCUAGGUGUGGGGAAACAUUUUCUCCGUGCCGCAGCCAACGCAUUAAGCGCCCCGCCUGGGGAGUACGGCCGCAAGGCUAAAACUCAAAGGAAUUGACGGGGGCCCGCACAAGCAGCGGAGCAUGUGGCUUAAUUCGAAGCAACGCGAAGAACCUUACCAGGGCUUGACAUCCGGGUGAAGCGGCGGAGACGCCGUGGCCGAGAGGAGCCCGGACAGGUGGUGCAUGGCUGUCGUCAGCUCGUGCCGUGAGGUGUUGGGUUAAGUCCCGCAACGAGCGCAACCCCCGUCGCGUGUUGCCAGCAAUUCGGUUGGGCACUCGCGCGAGACUGCCGGCGUCAAGCCGGAGGAAGGUGGGGACGACGUCAAGUCAUCAUGCCCCUUAUGCCCUGGGCUGCACACGUGCUACAAUGGCCGGCACAACGGGUUGCGACCCCGCGAGGGGGAGCGGAUCCCUCAAAGCCGGCCCCAGUUCGGACCGCAGGCUGCAACCCGCCUGCGCGAAGCCGGAGUUGCUAGUAAUCGCGGAUCAGCACGCCGCG